rnacentral:rRNA from 1 species
AGUGCGUACUAGGUUCUUUGGCUUUUCGUCGGUUUUCUUGUCGUGGCCUUUACUGGUGGCGGCAAGUGGCUGACAAUUUUACUUUGAACAAAUCAGAGUGCUCAACACAGGCGUUUCGCUUGUAUGCUUUUGCAUGGAAUAAUAGAAUAUGACUUCGGUCUAGUUUUAUUGGUUUUAUAGAUCGUUGUAAUGAUUAAAAGAGACAAACGGGGGCAUUCGUAUUGUUGCGUGAGAGGUGAAAUUCUUGGACCGCAGCAAGACGACCUACAGCGAAAGCAUUUGCCAAGCUUGUCUCCAUUAAUCAAGAACGAAAGUCAGAGGAUCGAAGGUGAUCAGAUACCGCCCUAGUUCUGACCGUAAACGAUGCCAACUAGCGAUUCGCCGGUGGAAUAUUUGCCCUGGCGAGGAGCUUCCCGGAAACGAAAGUCUUCCGGUUCCGGGGGAAGUAUGGUUGCAAAGCUGAAACUUAAAGGAAUUGACGGAAGGGCACCACCAGGAGUGGAGCCUGCGGCUUAAUUUGACUCAACACGGGAAAACUCACCCGGCCCGGACACUAUAAGGAUUGACAGAUUGAUAGCUCUUUCAUGAUUUGGUGGAUGGUGGUGCAUGGCCGUUCUUAGUUCGUGGAGUGAUUUGUCUGGUUUAUUCCGAUAACGAGCGAGACUCUAGCCUACUAAAUAGUUCGCUCAUUGUUUUGUGUAGCGAUACUUCCUAGAGGAAUUUGUCGG